CCAAAUCCGAAUCUGAAUCAAAUAUUGCGCGCUUUGCACACCCCUAUUAUGCAUCUCAUGUUAACAUCCUUGCAAGAUGCAGUGGUUUCAUUCUAUACAAGUGAUUUCAAUCAUUUGAACUGCUUUUCAUUGCUAAGUACAAAUAGGACUAGUUUAUUAGUGUCUGAUAUGUUUUCCUCCAAAUCUCCAAAGGGAUUCAAAUAAUCAAGGAUGUACAAUUUCAGUAAAUAUAAAGAAAGUAAUUCAUUGCCCAAUGUAUAAAAACUGUAUCAUUUUGGAGCAGUUAGUAACACGAGACUGAAGGGGAUAUUUAAUCCAGUUCAGUUCAAUGCUAUGGCAGACAGUCAUGCCCAACAAGCUCUUUCAUAAAUCAACCAAGUUCUUACAACUGUUAAGGUUUUUGUCUUUGCUACUUCUACUGGAAGGCUGUUCCAGAAUCUUACUCAUCCUGAUAACUGUUAGAAUAGCUGUCACAGUGAAUCAAACAUCCUCAGGUAACGGGAGCAAAAGCCUUUAUAUUCUUCCAUCAGGCUAGAUGAUUGUACAGGCCCUACAACUAUCCUGUAAUCUGGCAUGCAGCAAACUCAAACUCUGGCACUAAAAAUGAGAGCCUUUACACACUGGCUGCAAUCCUGUACCUACCCUUGGCAUUGCCAGAGACUCCCAGAAGGAUUACUGGUGGGAGAAGUCUCAUGGAAAGAUGCUACCCCUGGAAAAAUAAUUUGAAUGCCUGACUAAAUUCUUGUCUUCGGGUCGGUCACUUGUUACCAGAAAUAAUCUGAUCCACUACUCACUAUUCAACAGCAGCCAAAGAGGAGAUGUAAAAUGGUCAUGCCACUGAACUCAAUGACUAUAUUUUUUUUCAGAGCAGCUAUUGAAAAAUUCUUCAUAACUUGGCUCUCUUUUUGGCACCCUAUUCUGUUCACAUGCACAUCAACUUCCAUUUAUCACAUAUCCACUGAAGGAAAUCAAGCAGCAAGUUUCACCUUCCAGAUCAUCAUCUUUCUGCCAAAAUUCAGCUCCAAUUAGUUCGAAAACCCAAAGAUGUUGUAUCAACUGUACCAACUUUCUGGAGCUCAGUACCACAGUACUGUCCUUAUUGUCCAUCCAAGAAAUGAAUAAACAAACAAUUAUACAAUGCAUAGAAGAUUGCUUAAGGAAGGGAGUAUGUAUAAAACAGCAAUACAUUUCAAUGUUUUCUACCGGUCUGUACUUCUUUACUAAUGACCUCAUCAUUGACUGUAGGUGUUCAAUAUUACAUAUGGGAUGGAGGCAAAUUCCAAAAUAUCCAGAGAGUGAUACUCCAGCCACCCUGAAUUCAGUCAGCAUAUACUUCUAAGAUAGGCAGGCAGCCAACCAGCAAGAGUCCUGUGCUUGAACACACAGAUCUGAGUAUGAAUUGCAGAAAUAUUUUUGAAGUCCUAUCUACAGUAUUUUAUUUGCAGCAACUGCCAAAAGCAGUUAGGAAAUAUGAUUCGCUCACUUCGGAAAUAUUAUAAGCUGCAAUUCCUCAUUCUUCUGAAUUCAGGAGCUCCCUUGCCUGAUAUUUUCAGAAGUCCACACAGCUCCAUCUUGCCAUUUCAUUAGAACUCUUAACCUGUAGGGUCUUGAAAAGCAAGAUUGCAACAGAGCCUUGUGAAGUUUUUCAAAACAGGCAAAUUGAGACACGCUGGCCCAAGGGUGGAAGCUUCCUCACAGUCCUGUUGGUUGAGCUCCUUAAAUGGAAGAGGAGGGAGACCUAC